GACUUCGUAGUGCUUCAAUCGAUAAAUAAAAGACCUAAGCUUUUGUGUAAAAUAAACUUAAAACAAACAAAAAGAAUCCGUCCGACGGGGGACACAUCAAAGGGAAAACAAAAUGGUUAUUUUUAUUUAAUUCCGAGCAUUUUCUUAUUUAUCUACCUUCGAUCAACAAUAGUAACUAGAUUUCGGGUCGGUGCAUAAAAUCCGUCUCGUCAAAUAACAGCUCAAAUGUGAGCUGUUAUUUUGUUUAGUUCACUUCAAACACAGCCAAUGUCAACCCGUCUCACAAUACCGCAGUGUGUAUUCAAAAGUUGCAAAAAUAAGGCCCGAAAAAGCAAUUUAACGGCCGGAGUAUCUUACUUUCGCUUUCCUAGCAAUCACGUGUGCAGAAUGGAUCUCGAUUGUCGCCAGAGAAACAAGAGAUGACUUUUAUAAGCCAGCUAAGAUCUCCGCUCAUUGACACUGGACAUCUUUGCCUUCCGUGCUCACGACUACUGAAACGUGGCCGAAAUAUUGUAAUAAAAAUACCGCGCUUGAAACCGUUUAAA